rnacentral:rRNA from 1 species
CGUAGGGGCAAGCGUUGUCCGGAUUUAUUGGGCGUAAGAGCGUGUAGGCGGCCGGAUAGGUCCGUUGUGAAAACUCGAGGCUCAACCUCGAGACGCCGAUGGAAACCAUCUGGCUAGAGUCCGGAAGAGGAGAGUGGAAUUCCCGGUGUAGCGGUGAAAUGCGCAGAUAUCGGGAAGAACACCCGUGGCUAAGGCGGCUCUCUAGUACGGUACUGACGCUGAGACGCGAAAGCGUGGGGAGCGAACAGGAUUAGAUACCCUGGUAGUCCACGCCGUAAACGAUGGGUGCUAGGUGUGGGAGGUGUCGACUCCUUCCGUGCCGAAGCUAACGCAUUAAGCACCCCGCCUGGGGGAGUACGGCCGCAAGGCUA